rnacentral:misc_RNA from 1 species
AGUUGUUCGUUUGAUGGUUGAU